rnacentral:rRNA from 1 species
GACGUAGGGCGCGAGCGUUGUCCGGAUUUAUUGGGCGUAAAGAGCUCGUAGGUGGUUUGUCGCGUUGUCCGUGAAAACUCACAACUCAAUUGUGGGCGUGCGGGCGAUACGGGCAGACUGGAGUACUGCAGGGGAGACUGGAGUUCCUGGUGUAGCGGUGGAAUGCGCAGAUAUCAGGAGGAACACCGGUGGCGAAGGCGGGUCUCUGGGCAGUAACUGACGCUGAGGAGCGAAAGCGUGGGGAGCGAACAGG